rnacentral:rRNA from 1 species
UUGUGGUCAAGCUACUAAGGGUGCAUGGUGGAUGUCUUGGCACCAAGAGCCGAUGAAGGGCGUAGCAGGCUGCGAAACGCCCCGGGGAGCUGCCUAGCGAGCGUUGAUCCGGGGGUACCCGAAUGGGAGAUCCCGACGGGAGUAGUGUCCCGUCAUCCGCGACUGAAUGCAUAGGUCGCGGAGGGUAACGGAGCGAACUGAAACAUCUAAGUAGCUCCAGGAAAGGAAAGCAAGUGCGACUUCCCCAGUAGCGGCGAGCGAAAAGGAACAAGCCCAAACCGGGCGUGUGUAAGCUCGUGUGCGUUGCACGUUCGGGGUCGUGGGAGCUUCCACGCGCGGACACGACCGUGCGAUGGAGUUACAAAGGUCAAGACGAGAAGAACGACGCGGACAACGUCGACCAUAGAGGGUGACAGUCCCGUAUUCGUAGGGUUGACCCUCCAGGAAGUUUCCCAAGUAAGGCCGGAGCCGUGGAACCCGGUCUGAAUUCGGGAGGCCCACCUCCUAAGGCUGAGUACUCCUUGGUGACCGAUAGUGCAAAAGUAGCGUGAGUGAAAGAUGAAAAGAACCCCUUUGAGGGGAGUUAACGAACCUGAAACCAUGUACCUACAAGCGGUCGGAGGACUAUGCCGGGGAUCAGAUCCUAGAAACUAGACCGGUAUUGGAGAGCGAAAGCGGUCAAAGACAGCGGAAGAUAUCUCAGUGAGAAUCCCGGCCUGUCUGGCGAGUACUUCUCUGAGAGAUCUAGUUUCUAGUGUCUGGUCUCCGGAAGGUCUGACGGCGUGCCUUUUGCUUAAUGAACCGGCGAGUUGCUGUGUGCUGCAAGGUUAAGCCCUUCAGGGGCGUAGCCCCAGCGAAAGCGAGUGUGAAAUGCGCGACAAGGUAGCACGCAGCAGACCCGAAACCAGGUGAUCUACGCAUGGCCAGGUUGAAACGCUCGUAAAAGGGCGUGGAGGACCGAACCCGUUUACGUUGAAAAGUGAUGGGAUGAGCUGUGCGGAGGAGUAAAAGUCUAAUCAAACCUGGAGACAGCUGGUUCUCCCCGAAAUAGCUUUAGGGCUAGCCUCGUGUUACUCUGUCGUGGGGGUAGAGCCACUGAAUGAAUAGAGGGAGCCUCCAGCUUACCUCGUUCAAUCAAACUCCGAAUACCACGACAACUAUCACGGGAGUCAGACCGUGAGGGACAAGCUUCACGGUCAAGAGGGAAACAGCCCAGACCGCCAGCUAAGGUCCCCAAUAUCCGCUCAGUGGUAAAGGAAGUGAUGACGCGGAGACAGCCAGGAUGUUGGCUUAGAAGCAGCCACCAUUUAAAAAGUGCGUAACAGCUUA